rnacentral:rRNA from 1 species
CCUACGGGUGGCAGCAGUGGGGAAUAUUGGACAAUGGGCGAAAGCCUGAUCCAGCCAUGCCGCGUGUGUGAAGAAGGCCUUCGGGUUGUAAAGCACUUUCAGUGGGGAAGAAAGCCUUGGGGCUAAUACCCUCGAGGAAGGACAUCACCCACAGAAGAAGCACCGGCUAACUCCGUGCCAGCAGCCGCGGUAAUACGGAGGGUGCGAGCGUUAAUCGGAAUUACUGGGCGUAAAGCGCGCGUAGGCGGUCUGAUAAGCCGGUUGUGAAAGCCCCGGGCUCAACCUGGGAACGGCAUCCGGAACUGUCAGGCUAGAGUGCAGGAGAGGAAGGUAGAAUUCCCGGUGUAGCGGUGAAAUGCGUAGAGAUCGGGAGGAAUACCAGUGGCGAAGGCGGCCUUCUGGACUGACACUGACGCUGAGGUGCGAAAGCGUGGGUAGCAACAGGAUUAGAUACCCGAGUAGUC